CCUACGGGAGGCAGCAGUGAGGAAUAUUGGUCAAUGGGAGGAAUCCUGAACCAGCCAUGCCGCGUGCAGGACGACGGCUCUACGAGUUGUAAACUGCUUUUGUACCGGGGUAAAAUGCUCUACGAGUAGGGUUUUGAAAGUACGGUACGAAUAAGGAUCGGCUAACUCCGUGCCAGCAGCCGCGGUAAUACGGAGGAUCCGAGCGUUAUCCGGAUUCAUUGGGUUUAAAGGGUGCGUAGGUUGUUUUAUAAGUUAGCGGUGAAAUACCGAUGCUCAACAUCGGGGCUGCCGCUGAUACUGUAGGACUAGAGAUCGGAUGCAGCAGGCGGAAUGUGUAGUGUAGCGGUGAAAUGCAUAGAUAUUACGAAGAACUCCGAUUGCGAAGGCAGCCUACUAAACUGCCACUGACAUUGAUGCUCGAAAGUGUGGGUAUCAAACAGGAUUAGAUACCCGAGUAGUC
rnacentral:rRNA from 1 species